rnacentral:rRNA from 1 species
UAAGAGGUCCAGCCUGCCCAGUGAUAAUUAAUUCAACGGCCGCGGUACCCUAACCGUGCGAAGGUAGCAUAAUCACUUGUUCUUUAAAUGAGGACUCGUAUCAACGGCACUACGAGGGCUAUACUGUCUCCUUUUUCUAAUCAGUGAAACUGAUCUCCCCGUGAAGAAGCAGGGAUCAAAAUAUAAGACGAGAAGACCCCAUGGAGCUUUAAACUCACUACACACCUCUGUGCUCGUACACCAUCAAACACAAGAGAACUGUGUGUUAGUUUUAGGUUGGGGGGACCACGGAGUAUAACUUAACCUCCACAACAAAUGGGCUAACACCCUAAUCCACGAGACACAACUCUAAGAAUUACUAAAAUAAUGCUUAUGACCCGAUAUUCGAUCAAUGAACCAAGUUACCCUGGGGAUAACAGCGCAAUCUACUUCAAGAGCCCAUAUCGACAAGUAGGUUUACGACCUCGAUGUUGGAUCAGGAUAUCCCGGUGGUGCAGCCGCUACCAAUGGUUCGUUUGUUCAACGA